rnacentral:rRNA from 1 species
ACUCCUACGGGAGGCAGCAGUGAGGAAUUUUGGACAAUGGGGGAAACCCUGAUCCAGCGACGCCGCGUGUGGGAUGAAUGGGUUUAUGCCCUGUAAACCACUGUCAGCAGAGAAGAAAAGGCUCCUUUGGAGCCCGGGACUGUAUCUGCAGAGGAAGGACCGGCUAACUACGUGCCAGCAGCCGCGGUAAUACGUAGGGUCCAAGCGUUGUCCGGAAUUACUGGGUAUAAAGGGUGCGCAGGCGGGCUCGUGCGUCGAAGGUUAAAGGCCAUGGCUCAACCAUGGAAAUGCCCUCGAUACGGCGAGUCUUGAGUAUGAGAGAGGAAGAUGGAAUUCCUGGUGUAGCAGUGAAAUGCGUAGAUAUCAGGAGGAACACCGGUGGCGAAGGCGGUCUUCUGGCUCAUUACUGACGCUCAGGCACGAAAGCGUGGGGAGCGAACA